GGACUCCUUUCUUCUCCUAUUCACAUUGCUUUGUCUAAAAGCAGAUUUCAGUGACGGUGUUCUGAUCACUCAAUGGCCGAAAUACAUAUCCAGACUUCCAGGCUUCUCAGUUGAAAUACACUGUUACCAAAAUGAUACAAAUUAUGAAUACAAAUACUGGUACAGACAAAUAAAAGGAGAGCUAGUGCUUGUUGGGAGCUACAUUGUUAGCUCUGGCUCGACUGAGAAGGAUUUUGGAACCGGUUUUACAGUGUCAGGUACAGAGAAGAAGCAAUGGACCCUGAAAGUGGAUGUUAAGGAGGGGAUUGAUGCUGUGUAUCUGUGUGCUGCUAGUUUACACAGUGAAUAAACACUAAUAAAUUGUACAACAAAAACCCAUUGGAUGGCAACCUCUAAAUCCCACCUGUCUCAACCACAAAAAAAUAAACCCAUAUCUCUACAGACAAGUCAGCAGAACCUUACAACCCGCACAUACAGUAGAAUUACAUUAAUCAUUUUACACCCCUCCCUUAUGCCAAAAGCACUUUCACACAAAGGUCUUGUUGAUGUGACGCAGUCAGUAGGGGGAGAUGUGACUUUAAUGUACAGGUAUUCCUCUCUCUCUGUUGAUAUUAAAGUCUUGUACUCUCUCUCUCACCUUGUCAGAUUAUUUUUGCUGUGUGCAUAGCCAGAGUAUUUUUUAACCCUGUUUUAGAAGGAUGUUCAGAGCUGCGUAUGGACUGUGCGUUUAUUUAUUAUUAUAUAUAGGGAUGGUGCGAUGUGUGACCGUUCAACAGAACCCCACAUCCAUUUUAGCCAACGAGAAAUCUGCAGUGAUAAAUUGUAGUUAUGAUGAUAGUAACAUGGAUUAUAUGCAAUGGUAUCAGCAGAAGGAUACAGCCAUGGUCUUGAUCGUCUUCAGUUACAGUGCUACAGGUGAACCCACGUUUGAAGAUGGAUUUAAAGGCCGGACUGAACUGGACAGAACAGAAACACUGAAGGGAGUCCUGAAAAUCUCUGAUCUCAGUUCAUCAGACUCGGCUGUUUAUUACUGUGCUGUCAGUAUGCACAGUGCUGUAGUCUUUAUUACCUGCCUGACUAAAAACCAAGCCACCAGACAAACAGGAAAUGCAAUACGUACAAAUGAGGAAUCUAACCUCUGUAUCUUUUUCUUUUUUUCAGAUUUUCUUUUUCAAAGAUUUUUGUACUUUCUGUCAGUUUUUAAUUGAAAACACAAUCAAAUAUAAGCUUUCCUCCAAAACUAGUAGACCUACCUAGACAACAUUUUAAGGCAUCAUGUGUGGUGGCCAAAUUUUACAGUAACAUAUCCUUCACAGAUAACACAAUACCAGGAUGCAUUGCGACAGUAUCUGUGAAACAUACAAGAUGAUGGAUGCAGUCGAGAGAAAUAUUUCCAAUAAAUACUUACAUUUCAUGCAACAAAAAC
rnacentral:lncRNA from 1 species